GAAGUGAAUAAAAUAGCUUUGGUGAAGCGAACCCGGGGAACUGAAACAUCUCAGUACCCGGAGGAAAGGACAUCAACCGAGACUCCCGUAGUAGUGGCGAGCGAACCGGGACCAGGCCAGUGCUCUUGUGAAAUAAAGACGAACGAUCUGGAAAGGUCGGCCAUAGUGGGUGAAAGCCCCGUAGUCAUCAAACAGCAAGAGACUCGAGUAGGGCGGGACACGUGAAAUCCUGUCUGAACAUGGGGGGACCACCCUCCAAGCCUAAGUACUCCUCUACGACCGAUAGUGAACAAGUACCGUGAGGGAAAGGUGAAAAGCACCCCGACAAGGGGAGUGAAACAGAUCCUGAAAUCGGAAGCCUACAAGCAGUCGGAGCCGCCAAGCGCGGUGACGGCGUACCUUUUGUAUAAUGGGUCAGCGACUUCAUGUGUCGAGCAAGCUUAAGCCGUUAGGUGUAGGCGCAGCGAAAGCGAGUCUGAAUAGGGCGCCAGAGUUUGAUGUAUUAGACCCGAAACCCGGCGAUCUAGGCAUGACCAGGAUGAAGGUGCGGUAACACGCACUGGAGGUCCGAACCGAUUAACGUUGAAAAGUUACCGGAUGAGUUGUGUUUAGGGGUGAAAGGCCAAUCAAGCCGGGAAAUAGCUGGUUCUCCGCGAAAACUAUUGAGGUAGUGCCUCGAGCGAAUACCGUAGGGGGUAGAGCACUGGAUGGAUGCGGGGGUCGCGAGACCUACCAACUCUAACCAAACUCCGAAUACCCAAGAGUACUAUCCGGCAGACAGACGGUGGGUGCUAACGUCCAUCGUCAAAAGGGAAACAACCCUGACCGCCAGCUAAGGCCCCCAAAUCAUGGCUAAGUGUGAAAGGAUGUGGGGAUCCCAAAACAACCAGGAUGUUGGCUUAGAAGCAGCCAUCAUUUAAAGAAAGCGUAA
rnacentral:rRNA from 1 species